rnacentral:rRNA from 1 species
CACGUAGGGCGCAAGCGUUGUCCGAAAUUAUUGGGCGUAAAGAGCUCGUAGGCGGUCUGUUACGUCUGCUGUGAAAACCCAGGGCUUAACCCUGGGCUUGCAGUGGAUACGGGCAGACUAGAGGCAGGUAGGGGAGAAUGGAAUUCCCGGUGUAGCGGUGAAAUGCGCAGAUAUCGGGAGGAACACCGGUGGCGAAGGCAGCCCCCUGGGUCAAGACUGACGCUCAUGCACGAAAGCGUGGGGAGCAAACAGG